AAGUCUCUUGCCUCGCUCGAUCAACCGCUUUCCAUCGGCUGAUCUUGAGCUGGAUGCUGACCUGCCCUGCAUCUGCGGAGAGGUCUAGCACGAGACGAGAGCAAUCUGUACCAAGACGUGCUGAUUUUUGAGUACGAUGUCAUCUCUUCGCAUGGUGAAUCAUUGUAAUUUAUGCGGCAAGACAU
rnacentral:snoRNA from 1 species